GUGCGACAAGCUGGUGCUGCACCUUUUGCCCACCCACGCGUGGAAGGGGAGCAGAUAAACGUGUCCGUGUUCCGCGCAGGGGAGGAGCGCAGUCUCCACAGGCGUUUGAAGUGACAAAGCGAGGAGGCGACACUUUUAUCUCAGCGACCACGAACAUCCGCAUGGCAUGGGGCGUCCCGCACGUCCCACGUGCGCGCACGCACACACACACACGCGCACAAUCAGCAUGCCAUGGUAGGGGGAACCACAAGGCUGCAGGGAUGAUGAUCUCGAACCCCUGGAUCCGCCAGAAGAGAUGAAGUGCUGGGUUUGACUGCGCUCCCGAUCCCUUCUCGUCCAUGUGUUCCGAAGCGAAGCUCGAGAUCGGGGGCUGUUUGUCAGGCAGCUCGUCGCUGUCAGAUCCUCAGACUCGUGGAUGACUCCUCCUCGUGUUGAUCAGCUCAUCGGUCACACACACACACACACACACACACACACACACACAGAGAGCGUGUGUUUUGCGCCUAUUUCAUGUAGACAUGCCCACGUCCACUCCUCUUCCAACCACCCCAUCACCGCAGCUCUCCACGGACCACCUCACUGUCAUUCUGGCUUCCAUCUCCUCCCUGGUUCUCUUUGUGAUGAUCCUGGUGCUGCUGUCUGUCCUCUAUCACAAGGACCCUCUUUGCUGGAAAGUCAGAUUUUAUCAAGAUUCACGGCCAUGUGCUGAAGCUCCACCCCAGUACUGCAGCAGUAGGCAGACAUUAGUGGCAUCCCACUGUCAGGAUCACAGCUCAGACAUGGCAUAUGACAACAUAGUGGCCCAGCAGCCAGGCCAGAUGUUCCUUAUUGGGCAGCCCAGAAGUUACCAUCUACCUCCUUUGGAAGCUCCCCUCCCUUACCUUCCCUCUUAUGAGAGUGUUCGCAAGAAGGACCGGCAGCGACAGGUCCACAUGAUGAUUGCGGACCGAUUCGGCCUCAACAGUCCGGUCCUGUCCGAGUCACCACCAACGUAUGAGGAGUCUGUUCAUCAGACCAUUGAGAUCCAUGGUUUCGAAGUAGCCGUCGCCACCCCGUUGCAUCUUGUUCAUUCAAACCCUGCCACGUACCCAGCUGAACUGACAAAUGUGGUCACACAACAGCCUGGUGACAACAGCAGAGAGGCUCAUCUACCUGUCUAGGUCUCUUUGUCAGAGAGGCUUUGGAUAAUCCUCUGAAGACUUGCUGAGUGGAAGAAUCACUUCAGAAACAUGAUUAAUACUAACUCUAAUGUACGGCGCUGGUCCUGCUGUCCGAGUUCUGGAAUUGCCUGGGCGAUUCUGCUGGGAUUAAUCCAGGAAGAUCAUGUUGGUGUGAAGCUGUGGCCAGUUUCCUCAUAAUCUCUUGGCAUUUAACAAACCUCUGGAUCAGCUGGAGGACCUCUGAGAAUUCUUUCUUGAGUAGAUGUUCUAGCUUUUUUCCCUGCUUUGUAACUGAGCCACUAAGUUAGUCCAGGCUUGCUGAGUUGCCUAAAACUGCUUAACUCAGCCACUCAAUGUCAUUGACUUAUAUUUAACUAUAUAUAGAUAAAAAGGGCUCCAGCAGUGCUAAAGGGCAUAAUGAGCGUACACGAUGGACAGCUACAGAGUUUUGAAAUGGAACAUGCCAGUUAAGAUCACACAUGGAAGCAUUAACCUGCGAAGCAUUUACCUUGUGUUAUUCAUUUCUCACUAAAUUACUCUUUAACUCAGGAUUCUUUCCAGUUCUUACUUUUCAGGUGUAAAUAAUUUACUGACUGUUGUACUUUGCAGUCUGCAGUAGUUUUAGUGUUGCCAACUUCUUUUCAGGGAUGCUGUUGCCAGCACAGGCAAAUCUUUCCCACUGAAAUAUGCCAGAUGCUGUUCCAGACUGUUCCAGUUUUGUCAAAAAGUACUAGAUAUAAUAAAUGAUCCCCUCUUCAAAUUACGUAAUAAUGA
rnacentral:lncRNA from 1 species